rnacentral:rRNA from 1 species
GUUGGGAGCGAGCGUUAUCCGGAUUUAUUGGGUGUAAAGGGUGCGUAGAUGGAUAUGCAAGUUGGUUGUGAAAUACCUCGGCUUAACUGAGGAACUGCAACCAAAACUGCAAAUCUUGAGUACUGGAGGGGAAAGCGGAAUUCCUAGUGUAGCGGUGAAAUGCGUAGAUAUUAGGAAGAACACCGGUGGCGAAGGCGGCUUUCUGGACAGAAACUGACAUUGAGGCACGAAAGUGUGGGGAGCAAACAGGAUUAGAUACCCUGGUAGUCCACACUGUAAACGAUGGAUACUAGGUGUAGGUGAUGAUAAGUCAUCUGUGCCGUCGCAAACGCAGUAAGUAUCCCACCUGGGGAGUACGGCCGCAAGGUUA